rnacentral:rRNA from 1 species
CUUUGCAGGUAUCCCAUCCUGAAUAUAUAGGGAUGGGAGGCGAACGAAGCGAACUGAAACAUCUAAGUAGCUUCAGGAAAAGAAAUCAACCGAGAUUCCGAAAGUAGCGGCGAGCGAAAUCGGAUCAGCCCAGCACUCGAUAGCAGCCAACUUACGGGAACGGUCUGGAAAGUCCGGCCAUAGAGGGUGAUAGCCCCUUACUGGAAAAGGCAGCUGUGGUACUAAGUGUGCGAUAAGUAGAGCGGGACACGUGACAUCCUGCUCGAAGAUGGGGGGACCAUCCUCCAAGGCUAAAUACUCGUGAUCGACCGAUAGCGUACCAGUACUGUGAAGGAAAGGUUAAAAGAACCCCGGGAGGGGAGUGAAAUAGAUCCUGAAACCGCAUACAUACAAACAGUAGGAGCCUCGUUAAGGGGUGACUGCGUACCUUUUGCAUAAUGGGUCAGCGACUUACGUUUAAUGGCGAGCUUAACCGUAUAGGGGAGGCGCAGCGAAAGCGAGUUCGAACAGAGCGUUCAGUCGUUAGGCGUAGACCCGAAACCAGAUGAUCUAUCCAUGGCCAGGUUGAAGGUGUGGUAACACACACUGGAGGACCGAACCGACUAGUGUUGCAAAAUUAGCGGAUGAGCUGUGGAUAGGGGUGAAAGGCUAAACAAAUCUGGAGAUAGCUGGUUCUCCCCGAAAACUAUUGAGGUAGUGCCUCGUGUAUGACUCCAGGGGGUAGAGCACUGUUAUGGCUAGGGGGACAUGGCGUCUUACCAAACCAUGGCAAACUCCGAAUACUUGGAAGUUUGAGCACGGGAGACAGAGCACCGGGUGCUAACGUCCGGACUCAAGAGGGAAACAACCCAGACCGCCGGCUAAGGUCCCUAAUAUUGACUAAGUGGAAAACGAAGUGGAAAGGCUAAGACAGUCAGGAAGUUGGCUUAGAAGCAGCCAUCCUUCAAAGAAAGCGUAAUAGCUCACUGAUCGAGUCUUUCUGCGCGGAAGAUGUAACGGGGCUAAGUCAAUAACCGAAGCCGCGGAUUCACACUUGUGUGUGAGUGGUAGGGGAGCGUUCUGUAAGCCUGCGAAGGUGACUCGUAAGGGUUGCUGGAGGUAUCAGAAGUGCGAAUGCUGACAUGAGUAACGUUAAAGCGGGUGAAAAGCCCGCUCGCCGUAAGCCCAAGGUUUCCUGCUCUACGUUCAUCGGAGCAGGGUGAGUCGGCCCCUAAGGUGAGGCUGAGAAGCGUAACUGAUGGGAACAAGGUUAAUAUUCCUUGACCACCGCUGAAUGCGAAGGGGGGACGGAGUAUUGAAGAUCAUCCGGGUGUUGGAUAUCCCGGUUUGCGAGCGUAGGAGGCUGACAGGCAAAUCCGUCAGCGAAUCUCCGAGGCGAAGCAUCGAGCUCUCUUUUGAGCGAAGUGAUUGGAUGUGCUUCCAGGAAAAGCCUCUAAGCUCCAGUUCAGCGGGACCGUACCGCAAACCGACACUGGUGGGCGAGCUGAAUAUGCUCAGGCGCUUGAGAGAACUCAGGAGAAGGAACUCGGCAAAUUGACACCGUAACUUCGGGAUAAGGUGUGCCUUUGUAGCGUGGAGGGAGAAACACCCCGAGCGCGAAGAGGUCUCAGAUAAUCGGUGGCUGCGACUGUUUAUUAAAAACACAGCACUCUGCAAAGACGAAAGUCGACGUAUAGGGUGUGAUGCCUGCCCGGUGCUGGAAGAUUAAUUGAUGGGGUGCAAGCUCCUGAUCGAAGUCCCAGUAAACGGCGGCCGUAACUAUAACGGUCCUAAGGUAGCGAAAUUCCUUGUCGGG